rnacentral:lncRNA from 1 species
AAUUGCGAUUGGAACGCCAGGAGAAGCUAGCGGUCGAGAUGCGAUCAGAGCGGCUUUUGCUGAGUUUUUCUCCAUGGUUAUAUUCGUUUUCGCCGGUCAAGGCUCCGGCAUGGCUUACGGAAAGCUAACUGGAGACGGUCCAGCCACACCUUCUGGUCUAGUGGCCGCGUCUUUGUCUCAUGCGUUUGCAUUGUUCGUGGCGGUUUCCGUUGGAGCAAACGUUUCAGGCGGCCACGUGAAUCCCGCGGUUACGUUUGGAGCUUUUAUAGGUGGGAACAUCACGUUGUUGAGAGCUAUUCUUUAUUGGAUUGCUCAGUUACUUGGAGCAGUAGUAGCUUGCUUGUUGCUCAAGGUAAGUACUGGAGGGAUGGAAACGGCAGCGUUUUCGCUCUCUCAUGGAGUCACACCGUGGAACGCAGUCGUUUUCGAGAUUGUGAUGACGUUUGGGUUGGUUUACACUGUUUACGCUACUGCCGUGGAUCCCAAGAAAGGUGAUAUUGGAAUCAUUGCUCCUUUAGCGAUUGGGUUAAUCGUUGGAGCUAAUAUUCUCGUUGGUGGUGCGUUUGAUGGUGCGUCGAUGAACCCGGCCGUUUCGUUCGGUCCUGCCGUGGUUAGCUGGACCUGGACGAACCAUUGGGUCUAUUGGGUCGGUCCAUUUAUUGGUGCAGCCAUUGCAGCUAUUGUUUAUGACACUAUCUUUAUUGAUAGUAAUGGACAUGAACCACUUCCUUCUAGUGAUUUCUAAGUUAGGGUUUUUUCUGAUUUCUUCAAAAACAAGAAAGCUGAUGUUGUACUGAUGAGAGAGGUGUAUGUUUUUAACUCUGAUGCGUGUUUUUUUAUUAUGUUUGUAGCAUGUGGCUAAAGAUGUUACUUUUUACUACUUUGUGUUUCUUUAAGUGAUUAAUAAAUAAAAUAUUGGAAUUCCCAUAUACUAUUUAAAUUGGAUUGGAUUAAUGUGCGCGGGGUUUACGUAGUAUCAGUUCACACGUAAGAAAUCAUGUGCAGCGAAAUUGAUUGGAGAGUAUAUUCUUGAGAUAAUGCUCCCAUGGUGACAACAAAUAAAAUAUAAUAGGACCCGCCAUUAUAAUACAAUUGAGAAUAUAUUAUGGAUAAUGGAUGGUUGGUUCGUCCAUGCACGUUCUAUGUGUGAAUCUUAGCUAAUGAUGUUUUUAGUGGAUAUAGGAAUUGUUUACACAAAAAAAAAUAUUCAAACAAAAAAAACUAAAUGUGCACAAGAACAAGAAAAAAAAUAUGAUGUCUAAGAAUUGUUCAGUCAAUUAGCUAGAGACUAUCACAAGAUUAUUGCUUCAGCAGUAAAUAAUUUACGUUUAGUGAAAAUGAGAAGCCUUCAAAAACAUUGUUUGAAAAUAACAAAUUGGAAUAUGAAUAUAUGUGACUAAUUGCAUUCGUAUGAACGUAUAUCGUCGGUGUCCCGGUUUUUCCAACGCGUUUGGAGUUGCAUGCACGUUCAACCAAAGUGCGAUGACCUGAUUUAGUUCUUAAUCCGUCAAUAAUUAUGAGUACUAUUGUUUAUUCAUCGUGGAUUUAUAGAGAGAUAUAUUAAUGGUCGUACGUAGGAUAGGAUAUACCAUGAUUAUCAUAUCAUUAUAUCAUACUCAAUAUUUUAUAUAAAAAAUCAGAAGUCGGAUCGAUAACGAACUAUAAUAUUGUUGUAUAUUACUCCUAUUUGUUCAUAUCAUUCGAUCGAUGAGCUAAAAGUCUACAUAAGAAAGUUAUCAUUAUAAUACGAAUUUUCAUUUAUUUAACUAUUGUUCAAUUAAUUAUACAUACCGUCACAAGAUAUUUUAACUAAAUUAAAUCUCAACAUACUGUGUAAUCACGUGCGUUAAUCAAAUAGAUCAUCGUAUGUUGUAUUUUAUCAUGGCUCUGUUAGCUAUACUUUCUUGUCAUGUACGAACGAUUGACGCCAAAAAAAGUUCAAUUUUCUGAAGAAGAAUUUCCUAAUAUUCGUCAAAAAGUCAUUACUGUUGAAUAAUAGUAACUGAGAUAAAAGGUUUAUAAGUAUUAUUAUAUAUCUUUAUUUCUGAGUAAUAAAGAGAGAGAGAUGGACGUGAGAUGUGAGUGAGAGAGAGAGUUAUAUCAUUGACUUUUUCAUUUCAUAUAUCUGAUACAAUUGCACAUCACACUCCUAUUUAUAGCAUGAGUAAGUCGGUCUUGUUCAGAUAUUUUACAAAAGGAAAUAUGUGAUGUAGACACAUGUAUAGUGAUACUAAUCACAUACGUUUGAUGGAAGUGAGACAAGUGUUUUCAUGAUGAAUAAUCAUCUUUUGCAAUAAUUACAAUAGUUUAUAUGACGAAUUACUUUUCUUUUUGGUCGGUAUCGAAUCACAAACUCGUCUAAACCCUAUAGUAUAUUAAAUGAAAUAUAAACAAAGUUGAUCAAAAUCUCGAAUCCAUUAGUGGGCUGUAAAGGCUCUAUAAGAAGCCUCUCGCAUUCACAAAUAUGACCCUCGGGGCCUACUAAAAGUAAAGCACAGGAAUCUUUACUAAGAUAGAAAACACCACGCGUCGCUUAAAAAUGAAACAUACACUCGCUCGUUAAUUUCACAUGGGGGGCGUGCCAUGCAGAACGUUCGGCUCAUCUAAGCUGGGUUUAGGCCCUCUAUCUGUAGCUUCACUGGGCUUUAACCUUCUUUAAUAUGACUUUCUAUAGAGCCCAAAAAGAAUAGUACACAUCAUUCAGUAAUUAUUUUCUUUUUAUUUCGGAAAAUUAUCUGUACUUUACCAAUGGUUUGACUUUGACUAUAAAAUUUGGAAGAGAUCUAGGGUUGUUGCCAGUGGAUGAUGUCAGACGUCUGAUCUUGUCUUGCACACAAUAUUUCAAUAAUGUGUAAUUGCUGUCGGUAUAAUAUGUUUUGGGUUGAUAUUAUUAUUCAAGUAUUUUGUCAUUUUAUUAGUUUUCUGAAUAGGUUUCCCGCUUCUGUAAAUUUUAUUUUCAAAAUAGAUGAUUAAAAUACUGAAAAAGUAAUGUGCAGUAGUAGUAAGUAGGCUGAAGUUUACGUUUUAGAUAGAAGUGAGACGGAUGUGUCAAUGAGACUUAGCUCUGACCAUAGAGACGGAUGUGCCAAUGAGACUUCGCUCUAACCAUAGACUCCACUUUAUGAUACUUUCGAAACAUUGGAAUAGUAAAUUUUUUCUUUUUCCUCUGCUACAAAAUCUGAGAUUUGCAGAGCAAAAAAUUUGGCAGGAAUGUUCUUGUUUUAUCUCCUCAGGGUGUGAAGAAUGUACUCAGCGUAAAGGUCCCUAUAAAUAAUUUUAAAACCAAGAUUAUUUUUAUGUCAACAUAUUUGUUAAUAAAAAUAAUUGAAAUUUCUAAAUAAAAAACGUUACAUUGAGUACUGAAUGGCUUCAACGGCAGGACCAUUCGGUAGAAAAUCAUUUACAGCGACUUCCUUGUUCUCAUUCUUCUUGUCUGUUAAUUUUUUUGUUAAAGGUAACCGCAAAAUCAAUGGUUUAUUUAUUUACUAAUGAAGAAGAAAAUUAAGAUUUAAAUAUUGAAGAAAUAAAGGAUACAAUCUUCAAAGAAUCGCCGGAUUUCUGAGAGACGAUGAGGUGGAAGUUCUUUGAUGUCAGUGUAAUGCUUAUACUCAGGAUCAUCAACACAAACCGCAAUGAUCUUGUCAUCUUUUUCUCCCUUUAUUACAAGACAAUUACUCAGAAUGCUUACACAACUUGUAACCAAAAGGAUCAACCAGAGAUUUGAAAUGUUACCUGAUCAAUCAUAGGCAUUAAUCCGAUAGCUCGUGCGCGCAGGAAACAACCUGGAAGCACAGGCUCCUGAACAGAAAGAACUUUCUUUAAUAUAUGGAUUUGGUUUUGUUUUGUUAGUAUGUUGAAGUUGAAGAUAAGACUUAAAACCUGCAUGAUGACUAACACAUCUAAAGGGUCAUUGUCUUCACAUAAUGUGCGGGGGAUAAAACCGUAGUUAUGAGGAUACACGACCGAUGAAUAUAGGAUCCGAUCAACCUGAGAGACAAAUCAAGUUUGUUAAGGAAAGCAGCCCAAGUCCAUUAUUAGCCCAUGUGUUUAGGGUUUUGUGGUCUCAUAUAUAUACAUGCUUGUAGCUUCCAUAUCUUGGAACUUUGGCUGUCAUGGUUGCAGCCACAUCAAAAACAUCUUUUAUGAUAUCAAUCCAUCUUCUUAGCUCUUGGUGACAAUCUAAAGUUUUUCCCUUUCUUACUCUUUAUAUUUCAAUAAAGCUCAUUGAGCUAUCUCUAGUUUAUGUUUCAAUAAAGUCCUUUGGACACAAAUCUAUCUUGUUCUACAAAUGUUCUCAAAGUUGUUAGAGAGUUUUCAUUUCCCUGAAAUAAUAUUAGAUCAUUUUUUUCUCUAGUUUUUUUGUGAACAUUUUUUUUUUAAACUCUUAAACCGUUUAUAUUAGGAAACAGAAAGAGUACUACUUGUUAACAGCAGAUACUAGCGGAAAUGGCUAUUAUGUGGAUAUAAAGUAACCGCUAGCCAGGCAAAAUAUUACAAAUGACUAGGUUAUUUUUACCUUGAUGAGUCCUGUCUUUUUGUCAAGUUCAUAUUUGACCUUGCUACCUUUUGAGAUCUCAAUAACCUAAAUUUAAUUCAAAUAUCCAAAUGAUUCAAUAUCAGAUUCUGUUUUGUGAUCUUAACAUCAUUUCAGAUUAAUAUCACAUCAUCAAGCAUAAGACUUACCACAUUGAAGAUCGACGGAGCUCCAGGUCCUGCAUACAAAUUUCGUUUUUCUCAAGAAUAUUAUAGUUAAAAAAGACUUCAAAAUCAUUACCUAUAAGACUCAGAACAGAAUAUAUAUAUAUAUAUGUAAGUUUUUAUUAAUCUAAUGAUAAGUGAUUUUACCGAUUUCAAGAUCAUGCCAUGGAUGAGCAGCAACCGAUCUCCUUGAUAAAGAUGAGAGUAUUCUCUCGUUCAAACGUGGAGCUGUUCUCUGAAGCUUGUCAAAUUGAUUCUCUUUCACUUCUUCACUCAUCUAACAAACAGAGCAAUUCAAGAAAACAAACCAAAUGUUUAGAUUCAAUGACUUGUGACUUCUUGAAUUCACGUCUAAAUCAGGAUAUGUUGCUUAACUAUUGAUUUCAUAUUAAAUAGGAUCCAUUACUCAAAAGAUUGACCACUCAAAGUCAUAUUCUACUACAACUAAUCAACAAAACCCUACAACAUAUCGUAAUCCAUCAAUCAUCUUCAACCUAAGAUAAUCUAGAGCGUCAAAACAUCAAAAGAUUGAGAUCUAAGAAGCAAAAAAGAAGAACCAAAGAAAGUCUUCGUACCUUGGAACAACAGAUGUUUCAAGAACAGAACAGUCUUGCGGAAAGUAUGGAGAAAGCCAACUAACGAGGCAAAGAAAACAGUAAAGCGCGUGGUCUGCAAUUGCGAGCUAUAACCUUAUUUAUAGAAAGCGAGAAACACGGGUUUAGUUGUUUAACUGAUUAAUUAAUCAAGACUAGUAAUCACCGUUCGAUCUCUCAAAACUAGGGGCCCACCGUGAAACACUAAUCUUAGUCUCUUGAACGAUUCUCCAACACACACGUCUCACUCCCUCUUUAACUAUAUAAACUCAAGUGACAAACCACAAAAGAAAAGCAAGAAAACAAAACGCUUUUUUUUGUAGCAAAAUGGCUAUCAAUAGAAUUGCGAUUGGAACGCCAGGAGAAGCUAGCGGUCGAGAUGCGAUCAGAGCGGCUUUUGCUGAGUUUUUCUCCAUGGUUAUAUUCGUUUUCGCCGGUCAAGGCUCCGGCAUGGCUUACGGAAAGCUAACUGGAGACGGUCCAGCCACACCUUCUGGUCUAGUGGCCGCGUCUUUGUCUCAUGCGUUUGCAUUGUUCGUGGCGGUUUCCGUUGGAGCAAACGUUUCAGGCGGCCACGUGAAUCCCGCGGUUACGUUUGGAGCUUUUAUAGGUGGGAACAUCACGUUGUUGAGAGCUA